AUGCUCCCCAAGAAACAGGCUCAGGCAGGGGGCAGUAAAAAGGUGGAGCAGAAAAAGAAGGAGAAGAUUAUCGAAGACAAAACUUUUGGUUUAAAGAAUAAGAAAGGACCAAAGCGAUAAAAAUUUAUCGUGGCUGUCACACAUCAAGUUAAAUCUGGUCAACAAAAUCCACGUCAGGUAGCACAGAGUGAAGCUGAAAAGAAAUCAAAGAAAGAUGAGAGGAAAGAAUUGCAGGAACUAAAUGCGCUGUUCAAACCUGUAGUUGCUACUCAAAAAAUAAGUAAAGAUGCAGAUCCCAAAUACCUGGUGUGUGCAUUCUUCAAGCAAGGACAUGUACUAACGGAGAUGAGUGUUAAGUUUUCUCAUGGCUUGACUCUGGAGAGAAAAUAUGAAAAGAGAAGUGUUUACAUGAAUGCAAGAGAUGAAGAACUUGAAAAAGAUACUAUGGAUAAUUGGGAUGAGAAAAAGCUGGAAGAAGUAGUGAACAAGAAGCACCGUGAGGCGGAAAAGAAAAACCAAAAACCCAAAUAGUAUGCAAGCAUCUCCUUGAAGCCAUUGAAAACAAUAAACGUGGCUGGUUUGGGGUAUGCCAUGGAGGGGGAGAUAUUUUGCAUGUAUCGUCAUGCACUUCCUCCUGGAUUUGUGUUGAAAAAAGAUAAAAAGAAAGAAAAAAAAGAAGAUGAAAUUUCAUUAGAAGAUUUCAUCGAGAGAGAGCGUUCCGCCCUAGGUCCAAACGUUACCAAAAUCACUCUAGAAUCUUUUCUUGUACGGAAGAAAGGGAAAAGACAAGAGAAAAUGGAUAAACUUGAACAAGAUAUGGAAAGAAGGAAAGUGGACUUCAAAGCAGGGAAAGCAUUAGUGAUCAGUGGCCGAGAAGUGUUAGAAUUUCGUCCUGAGCUGGUCAAUGAUGAUGAUGAGGAAGCGGAUGACACCUGGUAUACCCAGGAAACAGGUGGUGAUGAGGUUGAUGACUCAGUAAGUGUAAAGCCUAUAUAUCCCAGGAGAUGUAGAUGAAAUAGCUAUUACUGUAGCCAGUCUUGAAAGAUUCAGCACAUAUGCUUCAGAUAAAGAUGAAAAUAAAUUAAGUGAAGCCUCUGGAGAUAGGACUGAAAAUGGUGAAAAAAGUGACUUGGAAGAGGACGAUGAAGCUGAGGGACAGGAAGAUGGAGCCAUUGAUGCCGUUCCUGUUGAUGAAAAUCUUUUUACUGGGGAAGAUUUGGAUGAACUAGAAGAAGAAUUAAACACACUUGAUUCAGAAGAAUGACCCCAAACAAGUCACUGAAAAAGAUUAAGUCAACUCAGCAGGAGUUGAAAUUGACUACAUUCAUUUUUUUCUGCCUAGAAUGAACGGGAUGUUUAUUUCCCGUGGUGAUUCUGGAGGGAUUAGCCUCCUCCCCCCGCAAAAGGAACAUUCUCCUUACAUCUUCUCUUCACUUUGGCUACAUCUCAUAGAAAGUGCAGAGUAGUUCAUGAUAAACUGAAAAUACAAUGGUUAUUCAGAAAAUGAUUGAUUGUUGCCACUUUCAACUCAAGUAGGAAGUGUAACUGCUUUUCCAGCCUUUGGUUUUCAUUGGGCCUGUGUUACUACCAGAAACAACAUAAAUUUACAUUUAAAAUACCCUUUAUUUGACAUAGUUUUUAAUGAGUGAGUUAAUUUCCUUUGUAUU